AGCAGGUGUAAAAACAAAAGAAACUGGAGUCAGUUCAUGGAGAACCAGCGCAGCCUAAAGCUCUGAAGAGUGAACAGAGUUCAGCAGGUCCACCGACUGUGAUCUGUAAUGAGCGUCUGCAGGAUGGAGAGGUCUUUCAUCCGGACUGACUCACACUGCCCACACGUCUGCUCCACCUCUGUCUGCUCCUCCGCUGCUUUUGUUCACUUUUAUUGCUGGUUAUCAACCCAACUCUUCAGCUCUCAAUGACCGAGGCGACGGUUCAGGAUCCCGUCAGCUGCUCCAUCACCUCGUUAACCUGCAGAGUGGGCGUCGGCAGCAGCCUGGGACGACCAGAACCUCCUCACUACCCCGAGGUGGUCCUAAUAAUCCAGACAGAGAUGCUCCCCUCAUCAUCAUCCGCGCGCGCACUGGUUGCCAUGGUGACGCCUCAUUCAUCAAUCAAAGCUGCCGGAGAGUGCGUUGGUUGGUGAAAGCUGUAAAGAAUAUUUUGAGCUCCAGUAAGGAGGUGACAAGGAAGACAAAUGAUCGUCUCCUUGCUCUGGUUUGGCAUCACAGACCGAUUCCUGCUAGUGUGAAUGCUGUAAGCUGAAAUUGGCCGCUAAAGAUGCUGAAAUUGAUAGCUAAAAAAAGCUGAAGCUGAUAGCCAGUUAAAUAUUAGCUAAGUGCCAGAUAAACGUAAAAAACUAGAAAUAAAAACUUAGGUCAGUCAAAACAGAUAGAAUGUAGCUGGAAAAAUAGAUAAGCUUAAAAAAAAC